rnacentral:misc_RNA from 1 species
AACAAGGGAAUCAAAAUAAUCAAGGGGACUGUGGCCGUUGGAUUUGACUCUGAUGCCAAUGGAGAUGUAACGGCAGUGAAAUUGAAGGAUGGGAGAGUGCUGGAUGCUGACAUUGUUGUCGUGGGUGUUGGUGGAAGACCUCUCACUACACUUUUCAAAGGCCAGGUUGAAGAGGAAAAAGGGGGAAUUAAGACUGAUGGUUUCUUCAAGACAAGUAUCACCGAUGUUUAUGCUGUAGGGGAUGUCGCCACAUUCCCUCUGAAGCUGUACAACGAAAUCAGGAGAGUCGAGCAUGUCGAUCAUGCCCGAAAAUCAGCUGAACAUGCUGUAAAGGCAAUCAAGGCAAACUCGGAAGGCAAACCCAUCGAAGAAUACGACUACCUCCCCUUUUUCUACUCUCGCACCUUCGAUCUCUCUUGGCAAUUCUAUGGAGACAACGUUGGCGACUCCGUUCUGUUUGGUGAUGCCGACCCUACAUCUGCUAAACCCAAGUUUGGCUCUUAUUGGAUCAAAGACGGGAAGGUGGUUGGGGCAUUCCUCGAAUCAGGUUCUCCGGACGAAAACAAAGCCAUUGCUAAGGUGGCGAGGCUCCAGCCAGCGGUGGCGGACCCGAAACAACUGAUAACAGAGGGCCUCAAUUUCGCCAGUAAAAUCUGAUGGUAAUUUACUUGAGGUAUCAUAUA